UAGAAUCAAAAUUCACUACAAAAUUGACAUUUGGUUGUACCCCAAGAUUUAUUUCAAUCAAACUUAUGUCCAACUGCAUAGUAUGAUUAAUUUGACAUAUUAACUGGAGCUAAAGUCAAGAACAAAUCACUUGUAUUUUUUGUUUCAACUUAUCGUUUUUAGAUUCACUCACCCAUACACGUGCACCAAUCUCGAAAAUAGGGCAUUUGUUGAACAAGAAAUUUUGGCCAAUUAAAUCGCAUCAUGUCAUCACAACAAAAUGAUAUCCAUAAUCUAAUUGAGUUUGGAUUGUCAAGUUUUCUCAUAUCCAACCAAUUCAAGCCCCCCGAUGUAAAAAAUGGGCUAAAGAAAUAAUGGGCCCAAGGCUGCGAAGCAAAUGGGUCCAGGUCCAAACCCAAAUUUAACAUGAAAAUGGGUUCAAGACCAAGCUUAAUAAGCAAAUGGGCCCAAGCCCAAGCCCAACAAGCAAAUAGGCUUAAGCUCACCUAAAGUUCACGAAAUUUCUCUAUAAAUAGAGACAUUUGCCAUUGAUUUGGGAAGAUCUUUGGUUGAAGGAAGAAUUGAAGCUUUGAAGUACCUGAAGCUUUGAAGAAAUGAAUAUUCAAACUUUUACAAGCUCUCAAGACAUGCAAAUUCGUAUCAAUCUCGAGAUCAACAACUUCUGAAAGAUUGAAGACUUGGAAGAUUAAAGUUUCCUUGAAUUUCAGAAGAUCGAAGUUCAAAUCGAAUUGCGAUUACAACAUCUUGAAGACCAAAGAUAAAAAAGUUCUAAGUUUUAACUUGUACGUAUUCGAGAGAAAACAUCAAAUGAAUAAAUACUAGAGAUUGUAUUCACAAUAUUCAUCAAUAUACAAAGUUCAAUUCUACGAAUUAAAUUUCUUUGAAAUAUCGUGUGAACAAUUAUCAAUAUUGAAAUUAUUGCCACUAAAAU
rnacentral:lncRNA from 1 species